GGCCUGAUGGUCUAGGGGUAUGAUUCUCGCUUAGGGUGCGAGAGGUCCCGGGUUCAAAUCCGGUCAGGCCC
rnacentral:tRNA from 1 species